AAAUUUCAUGGAAAAUUUCAAUGUGCAAUCAGGAUUGAUGACCAUUGGCUUAAGAAAUGAAGGAGCCGCUUCUUUGACACGGAUCUGGCAGAGAAUUUAGAGGAAGUCUGACCAAGUCGGUUGAAAAGAGGCAUACUUUGCUUUCUCUCAGGGCAGGAACAAAAGCAGCCUGAACAAUCCCACCAUCGGAACAAUGCCAAUCACAACAUUAGCAACGCUGAUGCCGUGAGGACUUAAGAGGAGACCCUGGAGACCCUCUGCCCACUUAGAGGCCUGAUGGAGCUAGAAGAGGAGCUGAGGACAAACUUGGGGCAGAGCCCCUGGUGUCCCAAGUCUCCAAAGAAGCGAGAGGACACCCGCUGUGCCAGCUGAAAACGGAAAUUCAGCAUCUUCCACUAAAUUACCUGUCCGAAGGAACCUUUGCCUAUCAAGGAGUCAAUUUCGUAGCGAUCCAUCCACUUCUC